CCUACGGGAGGCAGCAGUGAGGAAUAUUGGUCAAUGGACGAGAGUCUGAACCAGCCAAGUCGCGUGAAGGAUGACUGCCCUAUGGGUUGUAAACUUCUUUUAUAAGGGAAUAAAACGAGGCACGUGUGCCUUUUUGCAUGUACCUUAUGAAUAAGGAUCGGCUAACUCCGUGCCAGCAGCCGCGGUAAUACGGAGGAUCCGAGCGUUAUCCGGAUUUAUUGGGUUUAAAGGGAGCGUAGGUGGGUUGUUAAGUCAGUUGUGAAAGUUUGCGGCUCAACCGUAAAAUUGCAUUUGAUACUGGCAGUCUUGAGUACAGUUGAGGUAGGCGGAAUUCGUGGUGUAGCGGUGAAAUGCUUAGAUAUCACGAAGAACCCCUAUUGCGAAGGCAGCUUACUAAACUGUGACUGACAUUGAGGCUCGAAAGUGUGGGUAGCAAACAGGAUUAGAUACCCGAGUAGUC
rnacentral:rRNA from 1 species